rnacentral:rRNA from 1 species
UACGGAGGGUGCAAGCGUUAUCCGGAUUCACUGGGUUUAAAGGGCGCGUAGGCGGCGCGAGUAGUCAACGGUGAAAGCCCGGGGCUCAACCCCGGGUCGGCCGUCGAUACUCUCGUGCUUGAGCACUGUAGAGGCAGGUGGAAUUCCGGGUGUAGCGGUGGAAUGCGUAGAGAUCCGGAAGAACACCGGUGGCGAAGGCGGCCUGCUGGGCAGUAGCUGACGCUGAGGCGCGACAGCGUGGGGAGCAAACAGG